GCCCUUACUGUUAAUCAAGAGAGGGAGAUUAGAAGAGAUCAGAACUACCAGCCUGAAGAGCACUUUGCAUUUGACUACACCUUUCUACCAGCCUGUGUGUUUUUCUUCUGAUAUCUCUGCAGGGAGAAGUUCCCCAGAAGACAUCAUCAAUCAAUACAGAAGGAGUACACCAAAGACGACAUUCUGCAGUAGUACCUUUGUUAGUAGCUGUACCACAGGCUGAACUGUUAUUCUCUAAUCCCCACGCUCUGCCAUGUCAGAAAGCAGGACUUGAUGGUCUGUCUGGGUUUCCAUGUUACAGAGGUGAGACAGAGGGUCAGUAAAACAAACAGAUGAAAAGAAGCAGGCUGGAAAGUUGGAAAGUAGUUACAUGCUAUGGGCAGGUUCAUGCUACCUGA